rnacentral:misc_RNA from 1 species
GCAGGUGCAACCCGAUUAAUCAUUUUCACACCACCAAACACAAUGAAGCAUAGAAUGAGAGUCACAACAAUCCCAUAAAUUUGCAGGUCAUGUGAACUUGGACUUUCUAUAGGUUCUGAAGUUAUUGUGCCAUUAACCUUUGUAACAGUUUCUCUAAAUAUCCCAGCGGCAGGCACAGCUUUUAAAAAGGUUUCCACAGCUCCCAACACGUAAAGAGCUCCAGCAACUGCAUUCCCAAGGAAGAAACAUAGUAACUCCAACCUCUGGGCCAAGAGCACGACCAAUGAGAUAAUAUGGUCCCCCACCCUUCAUUGCACCAUUAGUCGCAAUUGCACUCAAUGAAAUUGACGUUAGGAAAGUACACAAACCACAAAAUGCUACCAGCAGAAGUGAUUCGCCUAUGCCAGCCAUGCCUACAAUCCAAGUAAAUCGGAUAUAGUAGAUAAUUCCCAAUAUGUUCUGUAAGCAUGGGAUAAAAACGCCCAUCAUUGUAUCAAGUUUAACAUCAUUAACCCUUGGACGCUCGUAAGCAAUUGAACCAUCU